rnacentral:rRNA from 1 species
UGGGGAAUAUUGGGCAAUGGGCGCAAGCCUGACCCAGCAACGCCGCGUGAGGGAAGAAGGCUUUCGGGUUGUAAACCUCUGUCCUUGGUGACGAAAAAAAUGACGGUAGCCAAGGAGGAAGCCCCGGCUAACUACGUGCCAGCAGCCGCGGUAAUACGUAGGGGGCGAGCGUUGUCCGGCAUUACUGGUCGUAAAGGGUGCGUAGGUGGCCUUUUAAGUUGGAUGUGAAAUCCCCGGGCUUAACUGGGGUGGUGCAUCUAAUACUGGAGGGCUAGAGUGCAGGAGAGGGAAGCGGAAGUCCUAGUGUAGCGGUGAAAUGCGUAGAUAUUAGGAGGAACACCAGUGGCGAAGGCGGCUUUCUGGACUGUAACUGACACUGAGGCACGAAAGCGUGGGGAGCAAACA